rnacentral:lncRNA from 1 species
GUCAAGGUAGCAUAAGUAAUCCAAUAUUCAUAUGAUCAGAUGUAAGCAUAAUUAACUCAUAGCAUAAACAAUAAUCAAAUGAACAUAAUAACAUAACAAGCUCAUCAUCUUAAUGUAGAUGUCCCCAAGGCCACUCCUGACUGUGAGCUCGGCUAGUAUACUAGUUUUAACACUCUGCAGAGGUUGUACAUCUUUACCCAUGAGUCAUAAUUUACCCUUUCACCCGAGGCUCGUUGACCUCUUAACCCAC